rnacentral:pre_miRNA from 1 species
AGACUGGCGUAGCGAGUUUCGCUUUCGUAUCAUAAUUCGCACAAAACUUUCAUCAACAAAUAUUUCAAUUCCCGUAAUGAUACGAAAGCGAAACUCGCUACGCCAGUCUAAU